rnacentral:rRNA from 1 species
GAGAAGACUUUAGAUAUGAUCCAGAGUACCACGGGACACGUGAAACCCUGUGGGAAGCAGGAGGGACCACCCUCAAAGGCUAAAUACUACCUAGUGACCGAUAGCGUAUAGUACCGUGAGGGAAAGGUGAAAAGAACCCCGGGAGGGGAGUGAAAUAGAACCUGAAACCCUGCACUUACAAGCUGUGGAAGCACAUUUCUUG